UCCCUGGUGGCUCAGACAGUAAAGAAUCUGCCUGCAAUGCAGAAGACCCAGGUUUGAUCCCUGGGUUGGGAG
rnacentral:tRNA from 1 species